UAAAAGGUUUGGUCCUAGCCUUCUUAUUAGUUGUUAGAAAAAUUACACAUGCAAGCCUCCACAAGCCAGUGAAAAUGCCCCCCUUAAUCUGACUAGCUGAUUAUAGGGAGCUGGUAUCAAGCUCACUUCAGUUGCUCAUGACACCUUGCCUAGCCACACCCCCACGGGAUACAGCAGUGAUAAAAAUUAAGCUAUAAACGAAAGUUUGACUUAGUUAUUCUACCCCGGGUUGGUUAAUUUCGUGCCAGCCACCGCGGUCAUACGAUUGACCCUAACUAAUAAGCCACCGGCGUAAAGCGUGUUUAAGUUAACCCUGUAUAAUAAGAUUAAACCCAUGCUAAUACGUAAAAAUUCAUAGCUAAGAGGAAAAUAAGCCACGCAAGUGAUCUUAAAAAUCUGAAGACACGACAGCUAGGGCACAAACUGAGAUUAGAUACCCCACUAUGCCUAGCCUUAAACCAAGGUAGCUUCUCCCAACAAGACUACUCGCCAGAGAACUACAAGCCACCGCUUAAAACUCAAAGGACUUGGCGGUACUUUACAUCCGUCUAGAGGAGCCUGUUCUAUAAUCGAUAAACCCCGAUCAACCUCACCACCUUUAGCUAAUUCAGCCUAUAUACCGCCAUCUUCAGCGAACCCCUACAGGGAAUCAAAGUAAGCUUAACAAUCACACAUAAAGACGUUAGGUCAAGGUGUAGCCAAUAAGGUGGAAAGCAAUGGGCUACAUUUUCUUAACAAGAACACUCACGAUACUUUUCUUGAAACAGAAAAAAGAAGGAGGAUUUAGUAGUAAAUUGAGAAUAGAGUGCUUAAUUGAAUAGAGCUAUGAAGUACGCACACACCGCCCGUCACCCUCCUCAAGUAUUCAAGAAACUAGAUACCUAAUACCCUCUACUACAAUAUGAGAGGAGAUAAGUCGUAACAUGGUAAGCAUACUGGAAAGUGUGCUUGGAAUAAU
rnacentral:ncRNA from 1 species